rnacentral:rRNA from 1 species
CCCUUAGAUGUUCUGGGCUGCACGCGCGCUACACUGAUGCGAUCAACAAGUUUUUCCUAUGUCGAUAGACACGGGUAAUCUUUUGAACUCGCAUCGUGAUGGGAAUAGAUUAUUGUAAUUAUUAAUCUUCAACGAGGAAUUCCUAGUAGGUGCAAAUCAUCAGUUUGCAUCGAUUACGUCCCUGCCCUUUGUACACACCGCCCGUCGCUGCUACCGAUUGGUUGAUCUGGUGAAUUAUUCGGACUGCCGGCUGAAGGGGUUUCCUCAUCUGCCAGCGGAAAGUCUUGUUAACCCUAUCAACUAGAGGAAGCAGAAGUCGUAACA